UGGCGGACGGGUGAGUAAUGUCUGGGAAACUGCCUGAUGGAGGGGGAGUAACUACUGGAAACGGUAGCUAAUACCGCAUAACGUCGCAAGACCAAAGAGGGGGACCUUCGGGCCUCUUGCCAUCGGAUGCGCCCAGAUGGGAUUAGCUAGUAGGUGGGGUAACGGCUCACCUAGGCGACGAUCCCUAGCUGGUCUGAGAGGAUGACCAGCCACACUGGAACUGAGACACGGUCCAGACUCCUACGGGAGGCAGCAUG
rnacentral:rRNA from 1 species